GACGAACGCUGGCGGCGUGCCUAAUACAUGCAAGUUGAGCGCUGAAGGUUGGUACUUGUACCAACUGGAUGAGCAGCGAACGGGUGAGUAACGCGUGGGGAAUCUGCCUUUAAGCGGGGGACAACAUUUGGAAACGAAUGCUAAUACCGCAUAAAAACUUUAAACACAAGUUUUAAGUUUGAAAGAUGCAAUUGCAUCACUCAAAGAUGAUCCCGCGUUGUAUUAGCUAGUUGGUGAGGUAAAGGCUCGCCAAGGCGAUGAUACAUAGCCGACCUGAGAGGGUGAUCGGCCACAUUGGGACUGAGACACGGCCCAAACUCCUACGGGAGGCAGCAGUAGGGAAUCUUCGGCAAUGGACGAAAGUCUGACCGAGCAACGCCGCGUGAGUGAAGAAGGUUGUCGGAUCGUAAAACUCUGUUGGUAGAGAAGAACGUUGGUGAGAGUGGAAAGCUCAUCAAGUGACGGUAACUACCCAGAAAGGGACGGCUAACUACGUG
rnacentral:rRNA from 1 species